UGGGGACUAUUGCACCAUGGGCGCAAGCCUGAUGCAGCCAUGCCGCGUGUGUGAAGAAGGCCUUCGGGUUGUAAAGCACGUUCAGCGAGGAGGAAGGGUAGUGUGUUAAUAGCACAUUGCAUUGACGUUACUCGCAGAAGAAGCACCGGCUAACUCCGUGCCAGCAGCCGCGGUAAUACGGAGGGUGCAAGCGUUAAUCGGAAUUACUGGGCGUAAAGCGCACGCAGGCGGUUUGUUAAGUCAGAUGUGAAAUCCCCGCGCUUAACGUGGGAACUGCAUUUGAAACUGGCAAGCUAGAGUCUUGUAGAGGGGGGUAGAAUUCCAGGUGUAGCGGUGAAAUGCGUAGAGAUCUGGAGGAAUACCGGUGGCGAAGGCGGCCCCCUGGACAAAGACUGACGCUCAGGUGCGAAGGCGUGGGGAGCAAACA
rnacentral:rRNA from 1 species